rnacentral:piRNA from 1 species
CGCAUCGACCUGGUAUUGCAGUA